rnacentral:rRNA from 1 species
GACGAACCGUGCGAACGUUGUUCGGAAUCACUGGGCUUAAAGGGCGCGUAGGCGGGCUGUCCAGUCUGGGGUGAAAUCCCGCGGCUCAACCGUGGAACUGCCUCAGAUACUGACGGCCUCGAGGGAGAUAGGGGCAUGCGGAACUGUAGGUGGAGCGGUGAAAUGCGUUGAUAUCUACAGGAACUCCGGUGGCGAAGGCGGCGUGCUGGAUCUCUUCUGACGCUGAGGCGCGAAAGCUAGGGGAGCGAAUGGG